rnacentral:lncRNA from 1 species
GCCCCCGGACCCUGGAUGCUGUCUCUUAGCACAGGCUCCUGGUUGAUUCGAAAGUCUUCUCUCUGCGAGGUAGGUCUGGUGGUUUCAUCCCGCAGGGUGCAUCUGUAGAGGAGAGGCUUGAGAAAAAGGAAGAGCAGGACAAUGGCCUGGAUUUCUGGAGGUAUGUGGGGCUGGGGGUGCAGGGGGGAAAUGAGCAGCAACCAUUGAGUGGAGACCCAAAUCGGGGUGGGGUGACUGCGAUCAGAACACGUCAGGCGCAUCCAAGAGUACCUUCCAAAUUUCCCCUUUUUACUAGCCUUCUAAGUCCUUCCUUUGCCUUUCUCCUUCACCUCCACCCGAAAUUGGUGGCAGGAAAAGAUGAGCUAGGAGGUGAGGGUAAGACAAAAGUCAUAAUUACAAGUGUCACUGCACAACCUGUUUUCUAGAAUAUACCUAGGGGCACCCUUCCCCCAAUUUAUGCUGCGCAAGGCGGUGGGAUGUGGUGCACCUAGUGGUGAAUCCUCAGAAUUGGAGAAGGGAGGCAUGUGAAAGUGUGACGUCAAGAGAAGAUGUCGUUGUCUGCAACCCUGAAACUAAGAGCUUAAGUAAUAGAGAACAUUCUACCAAGAGGACUUUAAAUGUUGGAAGACAAAUAAUAUGUGGGCUCCUAUCCUUGGUGUUUGUGGGUCCACCCAGAACUCAGUUGCUGCCAUGGUCUCCUGUCAUGCCUUUUCAUCUGUUUGUCCAUAGGCCUACUUUAAAGCUGCUCACUUCUGUAAGGGAGGGAAGGAGGAAUAUACUGGCCCAAAUCUGUGGAGAUCUACCUCCAGUGGCAUCUCUGGAGGUGUUGGAAUUGCUGCUGACCACCACCCUCAACAGGUCUGCACCCACCUGGGAGCAUCCAUCAUCCCCCAGCUUGGUUGUGCCUCUUCUGCGCUUUGUGAUAUUGACUGAGGCUGGGCUUUGGAAGCAGAUCGAUUGACUGCUGGACUGGUGAUUGACUCUAACUCUUGUUUCCAACUAUAUCACGUGAAUCACUGAAAGAUCACAGUGUGAAGAUACAAAACUGUGAGAGAUCUGUGGUAGAGGCUGAGACUGGGGUAGGGGUACUUAACUGGG